rnacentral:tRNA from 1 species
GCCUUCGUAGUGUAGUGGUCAGCACGCUCGGCGCGUAUACUUAGAGGUCCGUGGUUCGAGUCCCGGCGACGGCA